UCAGGUGCAAAAGAUUCAGAUAUUGACUCCUAACAUUGGAGUAGUAUAUAGUGGGAUGGGGCCUGAUUCGCGAGUCUUGGUCAGAAAGAGUAGGAAGCAGGCAGAGCAGUACAAUUACUCUACAAAAAAGCCGAAUCACUGAAGAACGACUUGAUAGCAAAUUGGAUAGGCAUCGAUCAAACUUUAUUUACCGGUUUUGAAUUCUAUAUAAUUUAAUGGUUGUAAACUUAUAUGGUUAUUAGAAUUUUAAAAUAACUUGUGGUUGUAUGAAACACAUUGUUUUGAUAUAUAUGAA